CAAAUGACAUCGAAAAGAAGAGUAGCCGUUAGGUGUUUUUAGAGAGUCUCUGGUUGGUGGAAAGAGGCAGCAGUUAACCGUGAAACACAUCUUGGAGUCGAUUUUCUGAAGCGUAUAGUAGGAAAAUCCGGGGAGCCCGUUACAGCUGCGGUCGUUGCUAGAUGACCAGAUAAGGCUGGCUUUUCCGUGAGGAGUCGGUAAAAAAAGGUGGAACCACGUGAUUAACGUCCUUUGAUCUUCGGAUCAAAGGACUUUUUGUUUUCAUCUGAACGGCAACGACUGUGUGAGGUUUUUUCUGCAAGGAAAAAAUAAACAGAGGUGGAACCACGUAUAAUACGUCCUCUUG
rnacentral:ncRNA from 1 species